UACGUAGGGGCCGAGCGUUGUCCGGAGUUAUUGGGCGUAAAGCGCGCGCAGGCGGCCUUGCGCGCCCGACGUGAAAGCCCCCGGCUUAACCGGGGAGGGUCGUUGGGGACGGCGGGGCUUGAGGGCGGGAGAGGUCGGUGGAAUUCCCGGUGUAGCGGUGAAAUGCGUAGAUAUCGGAAGGAACACCAGUGGCGAAAGCGGCUUCCUGGUCCAGCACCGACAUUCAGGCACGAAAGCGUGGGGAGCAAACAGG
rnacentral:rRNA from 1 species